AUUAUGGGUUAGGUGAGGAACCUCGCCCUCUUCUAUUACGGUACGCGCGAUGGGUAUUCCCUGAUGCCAUGAACUUACACGUUUCACACACGGGACCAGACGCUUGCUUUAGUUGACGCAUGAAGACCGGUCCGGUCUUUUGCGGAGAAAAGUGGUUAAAAGCUGACUUGUGGGCCGAGAAACUGUGGCACCCUAAUGAGCUAGGGCUAGACGCUUCGACCACCACGCCAAGUGAUUCUGAAGAUCUCUAAUUCUGUCAAGGCGAGAGCGCUCCAACACGUGUUCAUCGGCUGUUGCUUUUUAAAGAGAAGGGUCUCACUUUGUCACCCAAGCUGAAGUACAGUGGCAUCAUCUCGGCUUACUCAACCUCCUGGGAUCAAGUGAUCCUCCCACCUCAGCCCCCAAAGUAGCUGGGACUACAGGUCAGGCAUGGUGGCUCACACCUGUAAUCCCAGCAUGUUGGGAGGCCAAGAUGGGAGACUCACUUGAGCCCAGAAGUUCCAGACCAGCCUUGGCAAUAUAGUGAGAUGCCAUUUCUAUUUUAAAAAAUAUUUUAAAAAUAAAAUAUUUUUCUAUUCACCUUUCAUCAAUACAAACCCAGAAGAGA
rnacentral:lncRNA from 10 species